rnacentral:rRNA from 1 species
CCUACGGGUGGCAGCAGUGGGGAAUAUUGCACAAUGGGGGAAACCCUGAUGCAGCGACGCCGCGUGAGUGAAGAAGUAUUUCGGUAUGUAAAGCUCUAUCAGCAGGGAAGAAAAUGACGGUACCUGAUUAAGAAGCCCCGGCUAACUACGUGCCAGCAGCCGCGGUAAUACGGAGGAUGCGAGCGUUAUCCGGAUUUAGUGGGUUUAAAGGGUGCGCAGGCGGUCUGUUAAGUCAGCGGUCAAAGCCCGGGGCUCAACCCCGGCCCGCCGUUGAAACUGGCAGUCUCGAGUAGGAGAGAGGUAUGCGGAAUGCGCGGUGUAGCGGUGAAAUGCAUAGAUAUACGGAGGAACACCAGUGGCGAAGGCGGAUUGCUGGACAGUAACUGACGUUGAGGCGCGAAAGCGUGGGGAGCAAACAGGAUUAGAUACCCGUGUAGUC